GAUGAACGCUGGCGGCGUGCCUAAUACAUGCAAGUCGAGCGAACGGACGAGAAGCUUGCUUCUCUGAUGUUAGCGGCGGAUGGGUGAGUAACACGUGGAUAACCUACCUAUAAGACUGGGAUAACUUCGGGAAACCGGAGCUAAUACCGGAUAAUAUUUUGAACCGCAUGGUUCAAAAGUGAAAGACGGUCUUGCUGUCACUUAUAGAUGGAUCCGCGCUGCAUUAGCUAGUUGGUAAGGUAACGGCUUACCAAGGCAACGAUGCAUAGCCGCCCUGAGAGGGUGAUCGGCCACACUGGAACUGAGACACGGUCCAGACUCCUACGGGAGGCAGCAGUAGGGAAUCUUCCGCAAUGGGCGAAAGCCUGACGGAGCAACGCCGCGUGAGUGAUGAAGGUCUUCGGAUCGUAAAACUCUGUUAUUAGGGAAGAACAUAUGUGUAAGUAACUGUGCACAUCUUGACGGUACCUAAUCAGAAAGCCACGGCUAACUACGUG
rnacentral:rRNA from 1 species